rnacentral:misc_RNA from 1 species
GGUUCAUGACUGGGGUGAAGUCGUAACAAGGUAGCGCUAGGGGAACCUGGCGCUGGAUCACCUCCUUAUACGAUGAUUAUUGCGAUGAGUGUUCACACAGAUUGAUAUGGUUUAGAAAGUUUAGAGUAUCUUAGUGUCCCGUUCGUCUAGAGGCCUAGGACACCGCCCUUUCACGGCGGUAACAGGGGUUCGACUCCCCUACGGGAUACCAUGGGUCGUUAGCUCAGUUGGUAGAGCAGUUGACUUUUAAUCAAUUGGUCGCAGGUUCGAAUCCUGCACGACCCACCAUUUCCUUCCACGGGAAAACAAAUAAUGUGGGCGAUUAGCUCAGUUGGGAGAGCACCUGCCUUACAAGCAGGGGGUCACUGGUUCGAACCCGGUAUCGCCCACCAUCUUUAAGGGUUUUUCCUUAAGAAUCUUUAAAAAUGGUUUUCAUUAGAAAAUCUUGCUCUUUAACAAUUUGGAAAGCUGACAAAACAACAAUUUAUUGUUGUUUGUAAAGUUCUCAAUGUUUGUCUUUAUGACAAACACCAACAAACACAUUCAAGUGUUCUUGGGAAUGUCACUGUUAAGUGACUAUUCGAAAUUGAGUCCGGCAAAAUCAACGCUAUCUCGCUCAUUCAAAUAAUGAGAUAGCAACUUUGGUUGUUUAACAAAGACCCUUUGGGGUUGUAU